UUUUGGACAAUGGGCGCAAGCCUGAUCCAGCAAUGCCGCGUGAGUGAAGAAGGCCUUCGGGUUGUAAAGCUCUUUUGUCAGGGAAGAAACGGUGAGCUCUAAUACAGUUUGCUAAUGACGGUACCUGAAGAAUAAGCACCGGCUAACUACGUGCCAGCAGCCGCGGUAAUACGUAGGGUGCAAGCGUUAAUCGGAAUUACUGGGCGUAAAGCGUGCGCAGGCGGUUAUGUAAGUCAGAUGUGAAAUCCCCGGGCUCAACCUGGGAAUGGCAUUUGAGACUGCAUGGCUAGAGUGUGUCAGAGGGGGGUAGAAUUCCACGUGUAGCAGCGAAAUGCGUAGAGAUGUGGAGGAAUACCGAUGGCGAAGGCAGCCCCCUGGGAUAACACUGACGCUCAUGCACGAAA
rnacentral:rRNA from 1 species